UACGAAGGGUGCAAGCGUUACUCGGAAUUACUGGGCGUAAAGCGUGCGUAGGUGGUGAGUUAAGUCUGUCGUGAAAGCCCCGGGCUCAACCUGGGAAUGGCGAUGGAUACUGGCUCGCUAGAGUGCGGUAGAGGAGAGUGGAAUUCCCGGUGUAGCAGUGAAAUGCGUAGAGAUCGGGAGGAACAUCAGUUGCGAAGGCGGCUCUCUGGACCAGCACUGACACUGAGGCACGAAAGCGUGGGGAGCAAACAGGG
rnacentral:rRNA from 1 species